rnacentral:rRNA from 1 species
GGGGGGGGGGGGGGGGGGGGGGGGGGGGGGGGGGGGGGAGGCUGGGGGGGGGGGCGGGCGCGGCGGGGGUGAGUUGCGGACGGGUGAGUGACGCGUAGGUAACCUGCCUGGUAGCGGGGGGUGACUAGUGGAAGCGAUAGCUAAUACCGCAUACUAGUAGAUGUUGCAUGACAUUUGCUUAAAAGGUGCAAUUGCAUCACUACCAGAUGGACCUGCGUUGUAUUAGCUAGUUGGUGAGGUAACGGCUCACCAAGGCAACGAUGCAUAGCCGACCUGAGAGGGGGAUCGGCCACACUGGGACUGAGACACGGCCCAGACUCCUACGGGAGGCAGCAGUAGGGAAUCUUCGGCAAUGGACGGAAGUCUGACCGAGCAACGCCGCGUGAGUGAAGAAGGUUUUCGGAUCGUAAAGCUCUGUUGUAAGAGAAGAACGAGUGUGAGAGUGGAAAGUUCACACUGUGACGGUAUCUUACCAGAAAGGGACGGCUAACUACGUG